CUCGCUUGCUGUACGCGGAGGACAUU
rnacentral:rRNA from 1 species